AUGCGGAUUUUUAAUCAGGCACUACUGGCUCGUCAAGCUUGGCGGUUGCUGCAAACACCGGAUAGUCUGUGUGCACGUGUACUGAAGGCCCGAUACUACCCACAAGGCAACCUACUAGACACUGUGUUUACAGGCAACCCUCCAACUUGGUCUGCUAUAUCUUAUGGGCUGGAACUUCUCAAGGAAGGCAUGAUAUGGCGCAUUGGUAAUGGUGAAUCAGUCCGCAUCUGGCGUGACAAUUGGAUACCACGCUCGUCCUCACUCAAGCCAUUUAGCGCUCGAGGCCGGUCCAGACUCAUCAGAGUUUUGAGCUUGCUUAACGAACGAGGUACAUGGGAUGUAGCUGCCAUGUGGGCUAACUUUCUACCAAUCGAUGCUAGGGCCAUUUUAUCCAUCCGUACCUCACCAAGACGUGAACCGGACUUUCCUGCCUGGCAGCCGGAGAAAAACGGUAUCUUCUCUGUUAAGAGUGCUUAUAAGCUUGGUCUCAGCUUGAUAGAGCAUGCUCGUAAUGUGCCAGCCACAAGUACUAGACCGAAUGGUGAUCGUGAGAUUUGGAAGAAGCUAUGGAGUUUGCCAGUUCCUCCUAAAGUCCGUACUUUUGCAUGGCGUGCAAUUACUAAUUCAUUAGCAACAGAGGAGAAUAAGAAAAAUCAUCAUAUCCCAGUCACCGGAGUGUGCACGAUCUGUGCACAUGCUACAACCAAUAGUUGGGAGAGACCACCUCCUAGCAUGCUGAAGCUGAAUAUUGAUGGAUCAUACAGUGAGAGUACAGGGGUGGCAGGGGCAGGUAUGAUUCUCCGUGAUGAGCAUGGACGAAUUGUUUUUUCUUCCUGCCGUUUUCUUAAUCGUUGCGGUUCAGCACUUGAGGCGGAACUAAGUGCCUAUAUGAAAGGCAUAUCCCUUGCACUGGAGUGGAGUCAGCAUGAUGUCCUUGUUGAAACAGAUUCCAUGGAGGUCGCUAAGAUGAUUAAUAAUCCAUCUCAAGAUAGCUCAGAGCUGGGUCAUCUAGUUGAGCACGUGAAGCAUCUCAUGAACCAAGGGAGGCGUUUUGCUGUCAACAAAAUCUCCCGGGAAAUGAAUCAAGCGAGCGAUCUGCUUGCUCGUUUUGGUCGUCUAGAGGAACGAACAGUAGUUUGGUUAGGAUCGGGGCCUCAUGAAAUAUUAGACCUCAUCCUACGGGAUUGUAAUGUGACUAUUAUUUAA
rnacentral:rRNA from 1 species